CCUUAUUAGGCUAUUUAAAACACCACCACCCUCUCAUGGUUCCCUCCUGUGGCCAGCUUCUAACACCACCUGAAAUCAUCUGGUUCAUUCACUCAUGGGUUCAUUCCUGCACCCACCUCCAAUCCGAAGUCACAAGAACCUAAACUGAGAAAGACAGGGACCUUGUCGAUCUGAAGCCUAACACAGUGCACCAGCCAGGUCCCUCAGCUCCAUGUUUUUCAAAUGAUUUGUGGUGAAGGACCAGUCAUCUGUUCUCAAUUGAUGAUUCAUCGUACACCAAUACUUUCACAAUUUACCAUAAAAA